CCCUGAUGUUAGCGGCGGACGGGUGAGUAACACGUGGGUAACCUGCCUGUAAGACUGGGAUAACUCCGGGAAACCGGGGCUAAUACCGGAUGGUUGUUUGAACCGCAUGGUUCAAACAUAAAAGGUGGCUUCGGCUACCACUUACAGAUGGACCCGCGGCGCAUUAGCUAGUUGGUGAGGUAACGGCUCACCAAGGCGACGAUGCGUAGCCGACCUGAGAGGGUGAUCGGCCACACUGGGACUGAGACACGGCCCAGACUCCUACGGGAGGCAGCAGUAGGGAAUCUUCCGCAAUGGACGAAAGUCUGACGGAGCAACGCCGCGUGAGUGAUGAAGGUUUUCGGAUCGUAAAGCUCUGUUGUUAGGGAAGAACAAGUACCGUUCGAAUAGGGCGGUACCUUGACGGUACCUAACCAGAAAGCCACGGCUAACUACGUGCCAGCAGCCGCGGUAAUACGUAGGUGGCAAGCGUUGUCCGGAAUUAUUGGGCGUAAAGGGCUCGCAGGCGGUUUCUUAAGUCUGAUGUGAAAGCCCCCGGCUCAACCGGGGAGGGUCAUUGGAAACUGGGGAACUUGAGUGCAGAAGAGGAGAGUGGAAUUCCACGUGUAGCGGUGAAAUGCGUAGAGAUGUGGAGGAACACCAGUGGCGAAGGCGACUCUCUGGUCUGUAACUGACGCUGAGGAGCGAAAGCGUGGGGAGCGAACAGGAUU
rnacentral:rRNA from 1 species